GGAAAUGAGUCGAGAAAGUCCGACGUCAGGCUACGUCAUCCUGUCACUAUAAUGUUCCGUUUAUACGUAUGCCUGGACCAUUGGCAUUGUCGUAUACAUACAGCUGAAAUAUCUAGGCCUGAUCUGUCAUUUUAACCACGUCCACGGUCAAGGUUGCAAGCUGUUUUUCUGGUGAAAUUCAAAGGUAAGUUCUCUCAAAUUCUAUUCAAAUCAAAGGCAAUAUUCUAUUCAAAGGCAUGCAAGGCAAGUUCUUCUUGGCCUCAUAGGGCUAGAUUAAGUUGUUUCAAUUGUUAAUAGUUUACGUUCUACUUUCAAUGUAUAAAAUAAAUAAACUUUAAUAGACUCGAUUUUUUAAAAACUUGGUGUAAGCAUCUGUAAUUAAUAGAUAGAUACAAUUUUAUUUAUACAUGAUAAUUCCUUCAGUGUAAAAACACUGGUAUCAAUGCUCUGCCAACUUUAAUAGACUCGCCCAUUUUAACGUUUACCCUAGGUUCCCUAUUUGAAAUAUACGCUCCGUAAAUUGCUACAGUGUGAGCUGCUUGCUAAAUAGUACUAUAAAAAUUGCGAUAAAUAUAAGCUGUAAAACUGAAAGAUGAACAGUUCCGUGCUGUAGAAUCAGUCUUGCGUAGAAAAGAUGUAAUGGCCGUUGCCCACUGGCUUUGGCAAGUCCCUGAGUAAUGCAUCAAAUGAAGUUCAAAUCUUGCCCAAUGUAUUCGAUUAUAUGAUGAACGUUAUUAAACCACAAUUAUCAUGAUGAACGUUAA